rnacentral:misc_RNA from 1 species
GUGGAUGAGGAUACCGAACC